rnacentral:lncRNA from 1 species
GUGUUUGCCUGUAGUUCUUUAAGGACCUCUACCUGUUUAGCAGUAUUCUCUUGUAAUUCCUUGAGGGAUUUUUGUGCUUCCUUUUUAAGGGCUUCUACCUCCUUAGCCCUGUUCUCCUGUGUUUUAUUUUAAGUGAGUUAUUAAUGCCCUUCUUUAAAUCUUCUACCACCAUCAUGAGAUAUGAUUUUAAAUCUGUGUCUUGUUUUCGGGUGUGCUGUGGCAUCCAGGACUAGUUGUGCUGGGCGUACUGGGUUCUGAUGAUGCCCAGCGUUCUUGGUUUCUCUUAGUAAGAUUCUUACAUUUGCCUUUCACCAUCUGGAAAUCUCUGGUGUUAAUGAUCAAGCUGUCUCUGUUUGGAGCUUGAUCCUCCUGGGAUUCUGUUAGCCUCUGUCAUCAUUCCUGGGAGUUUAACUCUAACCUGAGUUCCAGUGGUCAGAGCACUCUCUGCAGGCAAGCUCUCUUUUUUCAGGGCAAGUGUCCAGCAGUCUGGAGCUCUGAUCCACCUUCUGAGUUCUGGCAUCAGAACUCUCCCAGCAGGCUGACUCUCCUCUGUCAAGGAAUGUGCCCAGUGGUCUGGGUCUUAGCUCUGCCUCCUGGCUGAGGAUCAAGGUCUGAGGGGACCCUGACCAAGAAGCUCUGUUGCUUCUAUCACCCACGUGCUCUCAGGUAAUCAGGUGGUCCUGGAUGUGCUAGGGGUCCUUGGUGUGGAGAAUCUUUUGGUGCCUUAGAUGUCCUCGGCCAGGUUCACGCAAAAGAUGGUGGGUCUGGCCCCUAUCUGAAUGGAUCCCAGCCUCUGGUCAGGCGGGGUUCCUCAGUCCCUGUUCCUGCCUGCACAAGACACUCAGUGAUUCUUUGGAGCUGAUGUUGUGUUCCACUCACCGGUGUUCCCAAGGUGAUCCCAAGGUCCUGCAGCAUGGAAAGCACUCUGGAGCCCUUAGCAGCUC